rnacentral:rRNA from 2 species
AGGGUGCAAGCGUUGUCCGGAAUUACUGGGUGUAAAGGGAGCGCAGGCGGACUGUCAAGUUGGGAGUGAAAACUACGGGCUCAACCCGUAACUUGCUUUCAAAACUGGCGGUCUUGAGUGGUGUAGAGGUAGGCGGAAUUCCCGGUGUAGCGGUGGAAUGCGUAGAUAUCGGGAGGAACACCAGUGGCGAAGGCGGCCUACUGGGCACUAACUGACGCUGAGGCUCGAAAGCAUGGGUAGCAAACAGGAUUAGAUACCCUGGUAGUCCAUGCCGUAAACGAUGAUUACUAGGUGUGGGGGGAUAGACCCCCUCCGUGCCGCAGUUAACACAAUAAGUAAUCCACCUGGGGAGUACGACCGCAAGGUUG